rnacentral:rRNA from 1 species
AUGGAGCCGACCUUGAAAUACCACCCUUUAAUGUUUGAUGUUCUAACGUUGACCCGUGAUCCGGGUUGCGGACAGUGUCUGGUGGGUAGUUUGACUGGGGCGGUCUCCUCCUAAAGAGUAACGGAGGAGCACGAAGGUUGGCUAAUCCUGGUCGGACAUCAGGAGGUUAGUGCAAUGGCAUAAGCCAGCUUGACUGCGAGCGUGACGGCGCGAGCAGGUGCGAAAGCAGGUCAUAGUGAUCCGGUGGUUCUGAAUGGAAGGGCCAUCGCUCAACGGAUAAAAGGUACUCCGGGGAUAACAGGCUGAUACCGCCCAAGAGUUCAUAUCGACGGCGGUGUUUGGCACCUCGAUGUCGGCUCAUCACAUCCUGGGGCUGAAGUAGGUCCCAAGGGUAUGGCUGUUCGCCAUUUAAAGUGGUACGCGAGCUGGGUUUAGAACGUCGUGAGACAGUUCGGUCCCUAUCUGCCGUGGGCGCUGGAGAACUGAGGGGGGCUGCUCCUAGUACGAGAGGACCGGAGUGGACGCAUCACUGGUGUUCGGGUUGUCAUGCCAAUGGCACUGCCCGGUAGCUAAAUGCGGAAGAGAUAAGUGCUGAAAGCAUCUAAGCACGAAACUUGCCCCGAGAUGAGUUCUCCCUGACCCUUUAAGGGUCCUGAAGGAACGUUGAAGACGACGACGUUGAUAGGCCGGGUGUGUAAGCGCAGCGAUGCGUUGAGCUAACCGGUACUAAUGAACCGUGAGGCUUAACCUUACAACGCCGAAGCUGUU